rnacentral:rRNA from 1 species
UCCGUAGGCGGGUAAUUAAGUCAGAGGUGAAAUCCCACAGCUUAACUGUGGAACUGCCUUAGAUACUGGUUAUCUUGAGUUUUAGUGAAGUAGAUAGAAUGCGUAGUGUAGCGGUGAAAUGCAUAGAUAUUACACAGAAUACCGAUUGCGAAGGCAGUCUACUAACUAACAACUGACGCUAAUGGACGAAAGCGUGGGGAGCGAACAGGAUUAGAUACCCUGGUAGUCC